CUUGUUGUUCUAACUACUUAGCAAAGAGAGCGUUUGUAAAUCAAGAAAGAUAAGAGGAGAAGAACCGACCGGAGAUGUCGGGGACGGUGGUGAGCAUGGCGAGGUCGAUGCUGAUGAGCGCCAUCAGCGUGGCUGCCUCUGCCGCUGCUGCUGAGAUGAGCCUCCUCAUUGGCGUCCACAAAGACAUCUGGUAUGUAUACUUUAUGUGAAGAGAAUCUGAUGAAGUCGUUAUAUUCACUUUCGAAAGUGCUCGCGUGUACUUAUUCUUGUAUCACAUGAAUUGCAUACCGAUAGUGUAAUUUUGGUCAAAUACAUGUCUUUUUUUUUCAAAAAGUGGGUGAUCCCCGGUCUCUGCAUCAGAACAAUGCAUACGGCCAUAAUUAUUAAUAAGCAAAAGGUUCAACACAAGUCUUCAUGUCUCGAACAAAGAAAGAAAAAGGCUCACAAAGAGCUAAAAAGUAAUAGGAAAGCCACAACCGGCUGGCGUAAAAAGAUAGGAUCACUAAUUGUCUAUCCUAUUACAUGACCGCCAUCCAAACUAGUUGAAAAUAACAUGUGCUACCAUCUCCCAUCAGAUAGAUCCAGUAACCAUACGCUCUCCGACCUCCGUCGGAGUGAGUAGCGACCACAUACGGAUCAACGCAAUGGCUUGGAAAAUAACCUGCAAAAAGUGAAUAUUUGUUGUUCUGUUAAUACCAAAUCAUUUCUGCAGUUCCAGACUGCCCAUAAUAAAGCACAUACUCCUACACGGAUGUGUCUUGCUGUUUCGGAAUCUAUCCCGUCUAGCCACGUCUCAAAUAACGUAUUGAUAGUAUUCGAAGGAGUAAUAUUAAAUGAUAUGUGGACCGUCCGCCACAAAAUUUUUGUCAAAGGGCAGUCAAGAAAGAGGUGUUUGAUGGAUUCAUCAUGGUCGCAAAAACUAAAUCUUGUAGAUCUUGUCCAGUUGCGUUUUGCCAAAUUAUUCUUAGUUAAAAUGACUUGUCAAAUACAUGUCUUAAAAUAGACAGACCUAUUUUAGGAUGUAAUUUGUUUUCCAUGACAUGCAUGAUCUUAUUCCCUGCUUAUCCAGUCUUGUUUGUUUGACUGAGAUAUGAUCAGUCAAAUGCAACUCACAAUGAGAAAUAUAUGAAUCUGGUUCAUUAUGCCAUGAGAGAGAUUGCUUUAUAUUUCUGGCUUUAUGAUGUGCUUGUCGAGUGAUAACUCUGUAAUAGCUUCUCAAUUAAUGAAAGGGGCCCUUUUGCCGCUGUUUCGAAAAUAAAAUAUUAUGAAUCUUUGUUUGGAUCGUUGUUGUAAUGCGCUCUUGCUCUUUCCCUCUUGAUGGAAAUACAUGUCAAUCCUUUCGCCUUCGUGAGAUAAAAAUUACUCUGACAUAUAGAUUUGACAAACUUCCCUGUGCACUAUUACAUUCCAUGAUCCAUAUGGCACCAAGAGUUAGCUCUAAUAAACUAUGCUUCGAAGGUUCAUCAGAGACGAGCUAGAGACCAUGCAUGCAUUCCUUUUGUCCAUAGAAGCAACGAAGAACAAAAGCAUGGUACUGCAGGUGUGGGCUAAGCAAGUAAGGGAUCUUUCCUAUGGUAUUGAGGAUUGUCUUGAUGAAUUUAUGGUGCAUGUGGAAAGCCAGAGCCGGUCUCGGCAGAUGUGUAAGAUGAAAGACCGCCAUCGGAUUGCCAACCAAAUCCGUGAUCUCAAAGCAAGAGUUGAAGAAGUGAGCAACAGGAACACAUGCUAUAACUUAAUCACAGUUGAUGCCUCCAGCAACAUUGAUGGGGUGAAUUCCUACAUGGAAGAUAUUCGCAACCACUCAGCUAGCAACAUUGACGAGGCAGAGCUUGUGGGAUUUGCUAAGCCUAAAGAGGAGUUGAUUAAGAUGGUGGAUGUCGACUCCAGAGAUGGUCUUUGCAAGGUGAUAUGUGUUGUUGGCAUGGGUGGUUUAGGAAAGACCACUCUUGCAAGGAAGGCAUAUGAAAGUAAGGAAGAUACUGUUAAUAAUUUUUCUUGUUGUGCCUGGGUCACAGUCUCACAGUCAUUUUCCAAGAUAGAUAUGCUCAAGGACAUGAUUAGGCAGCUAUUGGGUGCUGAUUCAUUGAAGAUUUUCUUGAAGGAACUUGAAGGGAGGGCGGUGCAAGUAGACAAUCUUGCUAGCUACCUGAGAGAAAAGCUAGUGGAGAAGAGGUACUUCAUUGUUCUUGAUGAUCUGUGGACAAUAGAUUCUUGGAAGUGGAUCAAAGAUAUUGCAUUUCCUAGUAGAAACAAUAAAGGUAGCCGGAUAAUAGUAACAACACGAGAUGAUGGCUUGGCUAAGGAGUGCAGAUCUGAAUCUCUUGUCUAUCACCUUAAGUACUUGCAAACAAAUGAUGCCACAAAAUUGCUACUAAUAAAGAGUAGGAAAACACAUCAAAACAUGGAUAAUGAUAAGGAAAUGAAGACCAUGGUUGACAAAAUAGUAAAGAAGUGUGGUGGUCUACCGCUGGCUGUACUCACUAUAGGAGGCAUGCUUGCCACCAAAAAAGUAACAGAGUGGGAGAGUAUCUAUAAACAAAUCCCCUUAGAGCUUGAGGUCAAUCCAAGCCUUGAAGCAAUGAGGAGGAUUGUUACUCUGAGCUACAACCACUUGCCAUCUCAUCUCAAGUCAUGUUUUUUGUAUCUAAGCAUCUUUCCUGAGGAUUCUGAAAUCAAAAGGAGACGUUUGGUGGAGAGAUGGAUAGCCGAGGGGUUUGUUAGAGCGAGGGCUGGGGUGAGCAUUGAGAAUGUGGGAAAUGGUUACUUUAAUGAGCUUGUCAACCGUAGCAUGAUUCAAUCUUCAAGUGUGAAUUUAGAAGGAGUUGUUAAGAGUUGUUGAGUCCAUGAUAUUGUGCGUGAUGUCAUGGUCUCAAUUUCCAGAGAUGAAAAUUUUGUGUAUGUGGCGGAAGAAAAUGUAACUAGUGCCGCAAAAGAGACAUUUCGCCAUCUAGCACACCAUGGUAGCAAGUUCCAGAAUAUUGGCAUGGAUUGGGGCCAUGUUCGGUCAUUGACCAUAUUUAGUGACAGACCAUUGGAAUCUUCAAUAUUUUCACCCGAGGCAAGAAUGCUCAGAAUCUUGGAUCUAGGGAAUGCACAAUUUCGAGUCACACAAGAGGAUGUCAAUAACAUAGGAUUGUUGUGCCACUUAAAGUAUGUGAAUUUUUCUAAUCCUAAAAGGUAUUCAUAUAUUUAUAAACUCCCAAGGUCCAUAGGAAAAUUACAGGGCUUGCGUACUUUGGACAUAAGAGGUAGUUAUAUUACAGAACUACCAACUGAGAUUAGUAAGCUCAAGAGCCUGCACAGUCUCCGUUGUACCAGAAAUAGUUCCUACGAAUACUUUGACCUGGAUGACCCCAAGGAAUGUUUGCUGACCACAUUUUGUCUGCCAGUGCUGUUCACACCUUUGGCUGAUCGUAUUGACGGCACUGAGGUAGUUGCUGAGCUCCACAUGGCAUGGUCUAGCCGUUGGUCCGGGUCAAUAGGUGUGAGGGUGCCAAAAGGAAUCGGCAACCUAAAAGAGCUACAAAUACUAGAGACCGUGGACGUCAGACGAACUAGUCGCAAAGCAAUUAAAGAGCUUGGUGAGCUUGUGCAACUGAGAAAACUAAGCUUGGCAAUGCAGGGGGCCACCAAGCAAAAAUGCAAGGUACUUUGUGAUGCCAUUCAGAAGCUCAGUUUCCUCCGCUAUCUUGUUGUGGUAAGUGACUCAAAUGGAAAAAUCGAGUGGCUGCACUCCGCUUCCUCUAUUCCUAUCCUGCUGAGAACCCUGGGCUUGUGUGGAUGCCUUGUAGAGAUUCCUGGCUGGUUUGUGAAUCUGUUGCAUUUGGUCAAGCUUUACUUACUGCGGAGCCAAAUAAAGGAAGACGGUAAAUUCAUGGAAAUACUAGGCGCACUGCCAAGCCUCGUUCACCUUUAUCUUGGAGUUGGCUCUUAUAUAGGGGGGAAGUUAGUGUUCAAAAUGGGAGCAUUCGCAAAUCUCAAGAAACUUGAUAUUUGGAGUCUGGAGCACCUGAGAGAGUUGAUAUUCGAGGAGGGAACCUCGCCCCAGUUAGAAAGGAUAGAAAUCGACUACUGCCGAUUGAAAUCAGGGAUCAUUGGUAUCGAGCACCUUGCAAGCCUCAAGGAGAUUUCACUUGGCUGGGAUGGUAAAGUGGCGAGGCUUGGUAUGCUGCAACAUAAAGUGGAGACACACCCCAACCGUCCUGUCCUGCGACUCAAGAUGGACCGGAGCCACCACGACCUGGGCGACGUCGUCCAAGGAUCUACUGCUUCAGUACAAGUGGAGGAAGCAACAGUGGAGGAGGAAUCAUCUCUCCAUGCUGACCCUGCAGCAGCGGGAGAGAGCUCCUCCUGGCAGGUGGUGGCCGUGACGAAGUGGAGCAACAGUGAUGAAGAUGAUCUGCGCUGAAGAUGAGUUUAGGGUUGUAGCUGAUGAUUGAUUUCUUCUCCGUUCCAUCAUUCUCUUCUCCGAUCGCCUCGAUUGACCUCUCAACUGAUGAUGAGUUCCACCAUGCUUGCAAGAGGUGUUGCUCGUUUCCAUUUGAAGGCAACGGUGAUGAUGAAGACGAUGAUAACUUUUGUUGCUGCUCCAUCCAUUCUUUACCAUGUUGGAGGAACUGGAGCACACAUCUGCUUGAUGAAUGUGCUUUGAGCAGGGAACUCCUCAAUCUGAAGGGAACAAAGAUCCAUACAUCCUGUGCCUCACGAAAAUGUCGAGUGAAGUUGGAAGCCAUUGCAUCUUUUUCUGAUCCAGGAGAGAGUUCUUGCUGUCGCUGUCUCAACAGUCCAAGUGCCUCUGAGACAUGACCCGACAAGUGAUCAUCCUGAUGUCUGGAUGAAUUGGGGAAACUCUGCUUGUCUGUUGAGAUUUGAGUACGGAGCGCGUCGAUCUGAAGAUUGAAAUGAACAAAUAUCCUUACAUCCUGUGCUACCAAGCGCAUUGAAUAAUGUCGAGUGAAGUCCGAAGCCAUUGGACCGUUUUCUGAUCCAAAGAUAGAGUUCUCGCUAUCGCUGUUCCGACGGUCCAAGUGCCUCUGAAACAUGAACCAUGAAGUGAUCAUCCUGAUAACUGGUUCAGUGCACACAAUACAUUCGCUGAUGAAAUAAAAAUAAUGCAUGCACGGCCAUCACGCCCAGCUUUCCAAGUCAGCUGGUGGUGACUCUAUAUGCCGCAAAAUGAAGCUGAGAGCCUGAGACAUGACUUGAUGUUCCUAAGGUGUGAAUAUCAGAGGAAUGCAGUGCUGUUUGGGGAACUCAAUGUAAGGGAAUCGAUGAAGAUACCGUGAUUUCAAGAUCUUAGGAGCAGUUUACAAUCGGUAUUUGGGGAGCCCCAUGGAAUUGAUCAACCUUAUUUGAAGACGUGCAAUUAAUUGUGAAUAUAGACUCACUUUGUUUACUAGUACUCUCUCUGUUUUUCAGAGAUGAUUUAUUACUCUCCAUUUGUUGCUACCAAUAUAUUUGCAGCUGUUUGUGAAAAAAAAAAUGAGGAUUGCAUGUGGUGUUAUUCAUGUUGAACACAUCUGCUAUAUCUGAGUUUAGCAGACUGAAUUCGACGAAAUGUGCCUGCUAUGGCUGCACCCUUGUCCUUCCCCAUGUAACAUCAGAUCAAGCUUGAUGCAUUUAACUUUGCCG
rnacentral:rRNA from 1 species